UAGAGUUUGAUCCUGGCUCAGAUUGAACGCUGGCGGUAUGCUUAACACAUGCAAGUUGAACGGAAACGAUACUAGCUUGCUAGUAGGCGUCGAGUGGCGGACGGGUGAGUAACGCGUAGGAAUCUACCUAAUAGUGGGGGAUAGCCCGGAGAAAUCCGGAUUAAUACCGCAUAAUCUCUAUGGAGUAAAGGGGCCCUCUUCUUGAAAGGUUUCGCUAUCAGAUGAGCCUGCGUAAGAUUAGCUAGUUGGUGAGGUAAAAGCUCACCAAGGCGACGAUCUUUAGCUGGUCUGAGAGGAUGAUCAGCCACACUGGGACUGAGACACGGCCCAGACUCCUACGGGAGGCAGCAGUGGGGAAUAUUGGACAAUGGGGGCAACCCUGAUCCAGCAAUACCGCGUGUGUGAAGAAGGCCUGAGGGUUGUAAAGCACUUUCAAUUGUGA
rnacentral:rRNA from 1 species